rnacentral:rRNA from 1 species
UACGGAGGAUGCGAGCGUUAUCCGGAUUUAUUGGGUUUAAAGGGUGCGUAGGCGGGCUGUUAAGUCAGCGGUAAAAGCCCGGGGCUCAACCGUGGAAUUGCAGUUGAAACUGGAGGCCUUGAGUGCACACAGGGGUGCCGGAAUUCAUGGUGUAGCGGUGAAAUGCUUAGAUAUCAUGAAGAACUCCGAUCGCGAAGGCAAGUGUCCGGGGUGCAACUGACGCUGAGGCUCGAAAGUGCGGGUAUCAAACAGG